CCUGGCGGCACUAGCGCGGUGGUCCCACCUGACCCCAUGCCGAACUCAGAAGUGAAACGCCGUAGCGCCGAUGGU
rnacentral:rRNA from 9 species